rnacentral:rRNA from 1 species
AGUGAACGCUGGCGGUAGGCCUAACACAUGCCAGUCGAACGGCAGCACAGUAAGAGCUUGCUCUUACGGGUGGCGAGUGGCGGACGGGUGAGGAAUACAUCGGAAUCUACUUUUUCGUGGGGGAUAACGUAGGGAAACUUACGCUAAUACCGCAUACGACCUACGGGUGAAAGCAGGGGAUCUUCGGACCUUGCGCGAUUGAAUGAGCCGAUGUCGGAUUAGCUAGUUGGCGGGGUAAAGGCCCACCAAGGCGACGAUCCGUAGCUGGUCUGAGAGGAUGAUCAGCCACACUGGAACUGAGACACGGUCCAGACUCCGACGGGAGGCAGCAGGGGGGAAUAUUGGACAAUGGGCGCAAGCCUGAUCCAGCCAUACCGCGUGGGUGAAGAAGGCCUUCGGGUUGCAAAGCCCUUUUGUUGGGAAAGAAAAGCAGCAGGUUAAUACCCCGCUGUUCUGACGGUACCCAAAGAAUAAGCACCGGCUAACUUCGUG